CAUGGCUACAUGUCAAUCUUGACUGAGUUAAAAGAGGCUACAUGGCUACAUGUCAACCCUGACUGAGUUAAAAGGGGUCUACAUGGCUGACUGUAACCUGACUCUACCCCUGCACAUCGACCCAGUACUGGUACCCCGUGUAUAUAGCCAAGUUAUUGGUACUCAUUGUGUAUUUAUUCCUUGCGUUAUUAUUUUUCUGUUAUUUUUCUCUAUGCAUUGUUCGGAACGGCCCGUUAGUUAAAUAUUGUAUUAUUAGUCUACACCUGUUGUUAACAAAGCAUGUGACAAAUACAACUUGAUUUGAUGGAGACUCCUUUCCGCAUGCAGCCCUGUCAGGCGGAGGAGGCCAUGUUUUUGCCCUAGUACUACACGCCUGAUUCCACUAAUCAACUCAUCAUCAAACCUUUAAAUCAAGUGUGUAAGGCUUGGGAAAUACUGCCCCAGAUGUACAUCUGCAUUAGAAGCUGAGUCUGUCAGGUACUUUGUCCCCCUGCCUAGGAGUCAGACAGACACAUCCUAUAGGCCUAACCCUCCCAGCGAUAGGCCUGAACCUGGUGGUGGAUGAAGCUGGUAUGAGUCAUAUUGCCUGAGAGAACACAGUUAUCAAAUGAAAUGUUCUCUAAACACCUCAUUACAUACUAGACCUACAACAUCCAUUCUCUGGAUUAGAAAUGUCAAGCAAACCCAGUUCAUGACAUGUUGUAGUAGAUAGACAGGCAGGCUAUGUUUUGGCCUAACCAGCACAAAUUCAGAGGGAAACAUUGCCCUCUUGUGACUUGAAUAUUGCAUAAAUAUUUAUUCAGGCCUAUAUUAUUCUGGAGACAUAUAGCCAGUAUAUUGCAUAAAUAUUUAUUCAGGCCUAUAUUAUUCUGGAGACAUAUAGUCAGUAUAUUGCAUAAAUAUUUAUUCAGGCCUAUAUUAUUCUGGAGACUUAUAGCCAGUAUAUUGCAUAAAUAUUUAUUCAGGCCUAUAUUAUUCUGGAGACAUAUAGUCAGUAUAUUGCAUAAAUAUUUAUUCAGGCCUAUAUUAUUCUGGAGACAUAUAGUCAGUAUAUUGCAUAAAUAUUUAUUCAGGCCUAUAUUAUUCUGGAGACAUAUAGC
ensembl:lncRNA